CUUCAACUCUUUGUAGCUGGUGUUGGAAAUCAGCUCCAGGUGGCGGCCCUUCUUACGCGCCUGCCGCAAGGACCUCUUGACCUUCUUCACUCGCUCCCGGAGCUGCCGGUUGCGCUUCUCCAGGGUGGCCACUUUCUGCUGCAGUUUCUUGACGUGGUCCUCCUCCUCAAACAAGGCCUUCUGCACCGAGGAGCACAUGAGCUGGAGGCAGAGACAGCGUGCAAGGAGAGGAGGGCUGCACUUAGCCUCCAGAGUUGUCUCUUCAACAAGACAGGUCUGAUCAUCUCAGUAACCUUCUUCUGGGACUCCUGUUAGACGUGUAUAUUUAAUACCAUUGGCUAAGUCGUAACAAUCAUCCAAGUCAACCGACCUCCCAGCCUGCCCACAUUGCCUCCCUGUAGGAAGUGAUUUUGCACACAGAAGCCCCUGGUGGGGUAGGGUGGAGUGUGAAGUAUCUGUUCUUGGACCACAGUUCCAUCCCUGGAGCAGCAAUUGUGAAGCAUCGUUCUCCUGUUCCAGCAUCUCUCCAAAGACGCUCAGGUCUCCGUCACAGGAUCACCAUUGAAAAAGGUGUCUGUCCCUCUGACACAUACCCAGGGGAGGAAAGAGCAAGCUUUGGAGGCACCUGGUUGACUUCACCUGGAGGUAUGUUUUAUGACCCAGAAUGUGAUCUAUCUUGGUAAAUGUUACAUGUGAGCUUGAGAAGAAUAUGUGGCCUGCUGUUGGUGGAUGAAGGAGUAUGGUCCAAGAAGACAUUCACCAUCCAUUCUCUCUGACGCCUGCUACCUGGAGGCUUCAUCUACGUGACAAGAACCUUGGCUUCCACAACCCCCUUCUCUAAACACAAGCGUUUUUUAAUGCUGAAUUCAAUUCUUCAGGCAGAGCUUAACUCUUUCAACCAACUGCCAAUCAGGAAAUGUUUGAAUCUGCCUCUGACCUGGAAGCCCCUGCUUUGAGAUGUCCUGCUUUCCUGGGCCGAAUCAAUGUAUUCAUUUCAUCUAUUGAUUUAUGUCUUUGCCUGCAAUGUCUGUCUCCUUAAAAUGUAUAAACCAAGCUGUAAACCACCCACUUUGGGCACAUGUUCUCAAGACUUCCUGGGGCCAUAUAAUGGGCCAUGGUUCUUAACUUAGGCAAAAUAAACCUAUAAAUUGAUUGAAACCUGUCUCAGACACUUUCCAGUUUAGAAAUAUAAUACAGACUCAUAACUUUUCCUACCUAUGUUUACUAGUAAAAUAAGCUCAUGUUACCUCUGUAGUACAAAAUUUGUUAGCAAGAAAAAUAACUUAAGGUGACGGAUACUUAAUGUCUCAUUGUCAUGAGCAAUCCAAGUAUAAUUGUUAAGAACAAUGAAUUAGAUGUAGGAAAAAUAUUCCCAUGGGAAAGGGGUCUUCCCUAUACUAGAAGGUUUUAAUAUUCUUACCAAGGAUGGAAGUUCAGGCUGAGGAAAAUGUGUACAAACAACAAUUUCAUUCUCAGGCCUAGCCAAAAAUUCUAAUAAGGAUAGAGAUACAACUUUCCCUCCCCUAUAGCUUUUUAUUAGAGACUAAAGAUAGCUGAAUCUGUUAGUAAACAUGUUCUGUGUCACAAUGAAAAAAAUUAUUCUAUGAGGAAGCACAUGCUUCUAGAAAUUAUGAUUCAUAAAUUUGUCAAUCUACAGACAGCUAGUGUAAUAGGGUUCACAACUGCUUGCUUCCUUUCACUGGAAAUUAAGAUGAUUUAGUAUAUAACUAAAAUUACCAGAAAUAAUACGGGAAACAACUCUAUAUGCAAGCAUACAAAAUAAGUAAGAUGAAUUUUCAGAAAAUCUAUAAGGUAGGAGAAUGUGUUUUGUUAAAGGCAAAAAGAGAAUAAUUUUUGUCCUAAAAUAGAAUGGCAUUGUUCCACAGUGAGAAAAAAAGUAUAGGGAAAAAAAAAACCCCGAAUGGAUAUAAGAAAACUGUAGGAUGCUUGUAAAAGUAGAAUCAUGGGAAAGGAAUUAUAUGUGUGAUCAAAUUCCUAAUAUUUGCUAAUAUUUGAAGGGAAUUAAGUUGCUUUUAAAUUCUAACAUUAAUAUCAAAAGUACGCUGAUACAAAACUAGAAUGUGGUCCUCUGUGUUAAAACAGCAAGGUUUUCUUGGAGUUCUAGUCUGCUCUUAAUAAGAUAGGGUAAAAGGUUUUUCUUUACCUUU
rnacentral:lncRNA from 10 species